ensembl:misc_RNA Metazoa_SRP Metazoan signal recognition particle RNA
GCCAGGUGUUGUUGCGGGCGCCUGUAAUCCCAGCUACUCUGGAGGCUGAGGCAGGAGAAUUGCUUGAACCCAGGAGGUGGAGGUUGCAGUGAGCUGACGUCGUGCCACUGUGCUCCAGCCUGGGUGACAGAGCAAGACUCUGUCUCAA